CCAGAGCCUUUAAAACCUACUCCAACUCCUGGCUGGUUAUAAAGCUACCUACUGACUUAUGACUCCCCUCCUGAUACCGCUCAAUACGACCUGAUGACCUCUCCUGCCCUCAAUGCACUCUUCCAACUCUAACCCGAACCAACAUCAGCACCCAACUCCCCACGAAUAGACCCAUCUUUCCCCUGACCCACUCAACCUCUUCAACCACCUAUCUGCCACGCUAGCUUAUCACCCAUUGCACCUUACUCCUUUACUAAUUAACCUGCCAACCUCCAACUCCCUGAGUUAUCUGUCACCAUACUCCCUCCCACCUACACAUCUGUCACCCUAAACCCCUCAACCACUUGCCUCCCUAUUCUGUCACCCACCAGGUGUCUCCUCACUGACUUAUCUUACACAUUCAUUUUCUUCCAUAGCUUUUCAAUGUCUCUUUGGGAUAUUUAAACUAUUCAGCGGCAGAAUUACAACAGUUGGCACAAAGGGAUGUGUCCUGUCUUCCUCCAACAAUCCUACAUUACUGAGAAUUCAGUUGGAUUCAAGUUACGCUACAGAUUGAUGGAACCUGCAGCAUGGAAGUUGGGCCUGAGAUAUGAAGAAUGGAUGCACGAAUACAUCAUGCCAUGAUGAUGCAGCACUUGCUGUGGACUACACCAGAGGGCGCCCUAGAUCAAUCCAAGGAGUGGAACCGUACCUUCAGCAUCCCCAUCGUCUGCUCUACGACUGUCCUGGACAAGGUCUGGGCAACACAGAGUCUGCAUUCUUCAUCAGCCAGGGUUUAUGCAAAUGUGAAAACACCUACUCACUGCUUCCCUUUAUCCAUAGCAAAGAAUUCCAAUAAAUUGUAUGCCCUUUUCACAAA